UUAUGAAUAAGGGCGGGGCAAGACCGGUGCCAGCCGCCGCGGUAACACCGGCCGCUCAAGUGGUGACCGUUAUUAUUGGGCCUAAAGCGUCCGUAGCCUGUCUGAUAAGUCCUUGGGUAAAUCCUGACGCUUAACGUUAGGAAUUCUAGGGAUACUGCCAGACUCGAGGCCGAGAGAAGUCAGAGGUACUCUUGGGGUAGCGGUGAAAUGCUGUAAUCCUGAGGGGACCACCAGUGGCGAAGGCGUCUGACUAGAGCGGGCCUGACGGUGAGGGACGAAAGCCAGGGUAGCGAACGGGAUUAGAUACCCCGGUAGUCCUGGCCGUAAACGCUGCGCGCUAGGUGUUGCAUGCUCUACGGGGGCAUGCAGUGCCGAAGAGAA
rnacentral:rRNA from 1 species